AAACCAACAGGGAUUGCCUUAGUAGCGGCGAGUGAAGCGGCAAAAACUCAAAUUUGAAAUCUGGCACCUUCGGUGUCCGAGUUGUAAUUUGAAGAUUGUAACCUUGGGGUUGGCUCUUGUCUAUGUUUCUUGGAACAGGACGUCACAGAGGGUGAGAAUCCCGUGCGAUGAGAUGCCCAAUCCUAUGUAAGGUGCUUUCGAAGAGUCGAGUUGUUUGGGAAUGCAGCUCUAAGUGGGUGGUAAAUUCCAUCUAAAGCUAAAUAUUGGCGAGAGACCGAUAGCGAACAAGUACAGUGAUGGAAAGAUGAAAAGAACUUUGAAAAGAGAGUGAAAAAGUACGUGAAAUUGUUGAAAGGGAAGGGUUUGAGAUCAGACUCGAUAUUUUGUGAGCCUUGCCUUCGUGGCGGGGUGACCCGCAGCUUAUCGGGCCAGCAUCGGUUUGGGCGGUAGGAUAAUGGCGUAGGAAUGUGACUUUGCUUCGGUGAAGUGUUAUAGCCUGCGUUGAUGCUGCCUGCCUAGACCGAGGACUGCGAUUUUAUCAAGGAUGCUGGCAUAAUGAUCCCAAACCGC
rnacentral:rRNA from 1 species